rnacentral:rRNA from 1 species
UAGUUUGAUCCUGGCUCAGGUGAAGUCGUAACAAGAUAACCGUAAGUCGUAACAAGGUAACCGUAGAAUUUGAUCAUGGCUCAGGAAAGUCGUAACAAGGUAGCCGUAAGUCGUAACAAGGUAACCGUAAGUCGUAACAAGGUAGCCGUAGAGUUUGAUAAUGGCUCAGCCUUUGACUUAAAAAAAUGGAGAAGUCGUAACAAGAUAACCGUAGAGUUUGAUCAUGGCUCAGGAAAGUCGUAACAAGGUAACCGUAGAGUUUGAUCCUGGCUCAGAAAAGUCGUAACAAGGUAGCCGUAAGUCGUAACAAGGUAACCGUAAGUCGUAACAAGGUAGCCGUAGAGUUUGAUAAUGGCUCAGCCUUUGACUUAAAAAAAUGGAGAAGUCGUAACAAGAUAACCGUAGAGUUUGAUCAUGGCUCAGAAGUCGUAACAAGGUAACCGUAGAGUUUGAUCCUGGCUCAGUCGUAACAAGGUAACCGUAAGUCGUAACAAGGUAACCGUAGAGUUUGAACAA